AGAGUUUGAUCCUGGCUCAGGAUGAACGCUGGCGGCGUGCCUAAUACAUGCAAGUCGAGCGAACAGACGAGGAGCUUGCUCCUUUGACGUUAGCGGCGGACGGGUGAGUAACACGUAGGUAACCUACCUAUAAGACUGGGAUAACUUCGGGAAACCGGAGCUAAUACCGGAUAAUAUUUCGAACCGCAUGGUUCGAUAGUGAAAGAUGGCUUUGCUAUCACUUAUAGAUGGACCUGCGCCGUAUUAGCUAGUUGGUAAGGUAACGGCUUACCAAGGCAACGAUACGUAGCCGACCUGAGAGGGUGAUCGGCCACACUGGAACUGAGACACGGUCCAGACUCCUACGGGAGGCAGCAGUAGGGAAUCUUCCGCAAUGGGCGAAAGCCUGACGGAGCAACGCCGCGUGAGUGAUGAAGGUCUUCGGAUCGUAAAACUCUGUUAUUAGGGAAGAACAAACGUGUAAGUAACUGUGCACGUCUUGACGGUACCUAAUCAGAAAGCCACGGCUAACUACGUCCAGCAGCCGCGGUAAU
rnacentral:rRNA from 1 species